AAUGAACGCUGGCGGCAUGCCUAACACAUGCAAGUCGAACGAGAACUGCGGGUCUAGUGGCGCACGGGUGCGGAACGGGGGGGAACCGGCCCUUAGGUUGGGAAUAACUCGCUGAAAGGGGUGACAAAACCGGAUAAGGUCUUCGGACCAAAGAUUGAUCGCCCUUGGAUGGGCGCGCGUUGGAUUAGCUUGUUGGUAGGGUGAGAGCAUACGACGGCGACGAGUAGGAGCUGGUCAGAGAGGAUGAUCAGCCACACCGAGACUGAGACACGGCCCAGACUCCUGCGCGAGGCAGGAGUGGGGGAUACUGCACUGCGGGGUAAAGGAUGAUCGCGCGAGGCCGGGUGAGUACUGAAAGCCUUGGGGAUGUAAAGCUCUUUUACCCGGGAUGAUAAUGACGGUACCGGGAGAAUAAGCUCCGGCUAACUCCGUG
rnacentral:rRNA from 1 species